CCUGCGUUCUCCCUGACCUCGCCCUGGAGUUUCUCGUCAAGCUGCCUGUGUUAGUGGAGGGCCGGGACUGCACCUUCAGUGUGCAGGGGGAAGAGAUUGGCGAAGGAAGUCUCAUGCCAUGUGCCCAGGACGAGCGCAGGGGAAGCAGUACUUCGUGCAAAGGUGACGAAAGCAAAGAGUACCUUGAUGAGGGAACAGCUGCAUGGAAACUGCUGAUUUAGAGCAAGGCAGAGAAGCUUCACAGACACAGAAUGGAAGAAAAAACAAAUGAUAGACAAGCCGGCUAGGAUGAUUUGUCAAGAAGAACGCAUUUUCAGAGACAACUGCUUUAUUGUGGCUUGAUGAGUGGUAUGUAGUUCCACACCUGGAAUCAGAACCUGCGAACGCCAGGCUGCCAAAGUGGAGCGCGCGAACUUAACUACUAUGCUACCGGGCCAACCCGAAAGCUGAAGGUUUUAUUGUCACCAUUAGUGGGCAAAGAUGGGGAGAAAUCCCCUAAGAAUUAGUCUCGGGAAAAAAGUCAAUACAAAUCAACUAAUCAUUUUGAUAAGUUUAACGCCACUUUAGUAGCCCAAGAGGCAAAGUUUUGGUCAAAAGAAACAGAACUUUAAAAACAAGAGGACCAAUAUAGAAGGAGUCUAUGAAUUUUCUAAUUGUGAUCAACAUUAUAAACAACAAACAAUGCAGGAAAUACAGAGUUCUACAGAAGAAAAAGAGGGUCGACUUAAGGUAAGGCAGAUGGAAGUAAUGAGACAGCAAUAAACAAACAAAUAAAUGAAACAAAAAGGGCAAGGGAAGGAAGAGGGACGACAGAUCACAGAUACAGAAGGCAAUGAAUGUUGCAGAAAGAGCACUGGGCUUGGUUCCCAAGAACUGUGUGAUAAAGCAAUUAACUUAGUUCUUCUACAGCAGCCUCCCCAUUGAACAA